GUGAAAUAAUUUGGUUUUCAAUUUCUCGUGACUCCACCGUCCAGCGGCGUCAGUUCGAGCUCCACGAGGUUGCUCCGCUCUCGCUGCCACCGCCCCAGGGUCGGUUCCGCCGCCGGCGCCCCAAGGUCCGUUCCGCCGCCACCGCCGUCGAUCGCCGGUCGGAGUCCUGCGACCCGAUCCACCUAACGUGCGGGAACUCAUCCAUUGGCUCAAGGUCCCAUUCAAUCCUUUCCCGUCGAUUUCUGUUCGGAAUCCACGCCUGACUUUUCCUCUGAUUUUUGGGUGGUUAUUGGUUUCUUGUUGUGGAGAGGCAUCCCGACAUCCUGCAUCUGUUUUGAAUUGAAACACCAGUUCCUGUUUCAAAAAAAAAAGAAGAAAGAAUCAGCAGAUCCGCUCCAAGGUCCGUGUGAUGAGGCACUCAAUCGGGUCAGAGGUCACAGAUCCCAACCGGAUCAGGCUGUAGAUCGAAGACCAGCUGCUACUCCAGCGAGAUCUCCCAGCAGCUCAGAGAAAGAAGCUAGCGGCGGACCCCGUCCUCCUCUCGACGGCUGCGCCAGGCAGACAACGACACAGACUACGGGCGUGAUUGGGACGAUGAUCUGGGCGGAUCAGGUAUGGCACGACAGCCUCUUUUGUCCGACUCCAUGCGAUGCGCGGCAGGAGCAACCCCAGGCGUCGGUCCCCAGCAUCCCAGGCAUGGCUCAUCCGCCUCCAUGAACAGACAUCCAGACCUUGGUGCAAGUUCAAGUGUUCUGUCCACACACUCAACUCCCUCACCGGCGUGCACGCGGAGCCUGACGGCCAAUGGGUCAUGGCCACUGUCGGCUAAAGAGAUCCAUGUACACCUUGGCAUUCAGCUGUGGAAGUGCUGGAGGUAUCUCUGGGAGUCUGAGACUGUGAACCUGCUGCUUCAAUUAUAUUCUUGAUUUCUGUGUUGCUUAAAAGGAUUCACAGCGGAGGUUGAUGUCCAGGAUGCCCAUUUGCUGCUGCUCGUUCCUGCCACCAUAUGGGAUCCUGGCGGGGCAGUAUGUUGACACUUGAGAGGCAGAGGUGGGGGGUUCGAGGCGGCCACAUCACAUGUAGGUGCAUUCGGUGAAAUUGUGGAAUCCAGAGCGGAGGCCAUCACGUGCUGGGAUGUUCCUGCUUGAUCAUGCGGCUUCGAACAGACAAGUCCCUCAAAUGAACACCGAUGGACAAGUAGCGUAGGCCAUAGUCCAGCACAUGAGCCAGGUAGGUGACUGUUGACACCAUCGUUUAUUGCAUUUUUAUGUACGAGUUUUUAACCGCUGAACUUGGUGAUGCUGACCAUGGUGUUCCUCUGCAACGACACUGGCAUCACCUGUGACCAUGCUGGCUGCAUGAGAUUUUCGAGCUCUGGGAUGGCAAGUUCGAGCUGCUGUAGGUCGCUCUAGCGGCCGUCAUGUUGCAUGUGGAGCUAGCCUUGUGCAAAGUGUGAAGAUUCGAUCUUUGUGAUCAUAACAUGUGGAUUGUGUUGACAAAAUCUGUGUGUUCAAACUGCAAAAUGCUAGCUUUGAUGACCACUGAAAUGAUCAUGUUGUCACCACAAUUGUACUCAAGUUGGAAAUUUUAGCCUUUUAUACAUGGUAGAGACAAACCAGCCAUUGAUGAAUGAAACAGAUACUGGUUGUUA